GGGGAAAGGUAGACAGGUGAGGGGAAAGUUAGGGCAGGUGAGGGUGAAACAGGUGUAGGUAAGGUAAAGGGAAGGUAGGUUAGGGAAAGGUACAGACAGGUAAGGAUGACAGAGCAGGUAAAGGUAGAGAAAUGAAAGGUAAGUAAAGAGAAAGUAAGUCAAGUUAAGGUAAGGCCAGGUAAGGAAGGCAGAACAGGUGUAGAUACAAAAAAACAAAGGUAAGGAAAGUCAGGGAAAGAUAUAGGAAGGUAAGGAAGACAUAACAGGUAUAGGUAAGUCAGAGCAAGGUAUGAACAGGUAAGGAAGACUUCUGAGGGGAAAAGGUAAAAGUGAGGGGAGGAAAACCAGGC